rnacentral:rRNA from 1 species
CCUACGGGUGGCUGCAGUGGGGAAUAUUGCACAAUGGGCGCAAGCCUGAUGCAGCCAUGCCGCGUGUGUGAAGAAGGCCUUCGGGUUGUAAAGCACUUUCAGCGGGGAGGAAGGCGUUAAGGUUAAUAACCUUGUCGAUUGACGUUACCCGCAGAAGAAGCACCGGCUAACUCCGUGCCAGCAGCCGCGGUAAUACGGAGGGUGCAAGCGUUAAUCGGAAUUACUGGGCGUAAAGCGCACGCAGGCGGUCUGUCAAGUCGGAUGUGAAAUCCCCGGGCUCAACCUGGGAACUGCAUUCGAAACUGGCAGGCUAGAGUCUUGUAGAGGGGGGUAGAAUUCCAGGUGUAGCGGUGAAAUGCGUAGAGAUCUGGAGGAAUACCGGGGGCGAAGGCGGCCCCCUGGACAAAGACUGACGCUCAGGUGCGAAAGCGUGGGGAGCAAACAGGAUUAGAUACCCUGUAGUC